UACGGGGGGAGCAAGCGUUGUUCGGAUUUACUGGGCGCAAAGGGCGCGUAGGCGGUCAGCACAAGUCAGUUGUGAAAUCUCCGGGCUUAACUCGGAAAGGUCAACUGAUACUGUGCGACUAGAGUGCAGAAGGGGCAACUGGAAUUCUCGGUGUAGCGGUGAAAUGCGUAGAUAUCGAGAGGAACACCUGCGGCGAAGGCGGGUUGCUGGGCUGACACUGACGCUGAGGCGCGAAAGCCAGGGGAGCGAACGGG
rnacentral:rRNA from 1 species